AGCAAUUCUGCACCCCAGGGGACAGCUGGCAGUUUGUGGACACAUUUUGACAAUCACAACUGGACUGUGGUAGGGGCUACUUGGCAUCAGCUCCACAACCACUAUUUUCCUGACAGUGAGUUUAAAGAGCACUCUUUCCUGUGUUAAGAAAAAUAAGAAAUGGCUCCUGGCCAGCACAUGUUAAUUAGAUCAUGCAAGGUGACGAUAAAGGAUCUGAAGAUGAAACCCAUGCAUUGCCACCUGAUAUGAAGCGGAUUCUUGACCAUAGGAGCCACUAGGGAAGGCCCUCAAUCAGAGCAUCACAGAGGGAAGCAGACCAUGCAGGCUGCUCCGUCCUUCCUCUGAAGCAGUCCAUUUGGAGAGUCUACCUUGUUCAUAUAGAAGCCCUUCACUGUCCAUCCUUGAUCCACAACCAAGGGCCCCAGAAGUCACUUUGAACAAUAUAUCUCUGCUCCCCACCAUGGCAGCAUCUGAUUGGGCCAGUGCUGAGCACUUGAUCCAUGAUGGCCAAUCAGAGCCUCUUUGCCAGACAACUGAAACUGGGACUAAGAAAUAGUAUCUCUUGAGAUGGCUAAAACCAAAACCUGUCAGCAUGCCAGCUUGGGUGUUUUGGAAUACAGUAAGUCCCCGACAUGUGAACUUUCAAAUUGUGAACUUUCAAAGAUGUGCACGAGCGUUACAUCGAUGUCAGGCCUAAGUGAAACAGCAGCUUGCCCUCCAUCUCCUAUGACUGAUGAUCCCCCAACUCUACCAAUCUUGCCUCCUCUCCCUCCUCCAGUCAGGAACUCUUCUUGACUCUUCAUUCAAUGCCAGCCCCUAGAUGCCAGCUGCUUUACUGUACUACUGUACUUUUCAAGGUGCUGUACUGUAAGAUUAAAAAUGUUUUCUAUGCC